GUAAUGGGACGAACACGAGGAGGAAGGGACACAAUAUCCGAUGUGCUGAUGUGCUCAACAGUAGCAAUAUCCUCUACCAUGGCAAGGCGCUAUUUGGUAUGAAUAACAUCAAGAUAAGAAGUCUGCUCAAGAAAGUGGCGCCAACGUUUCAUAGCCUAAGGCGGUCCACAGGCAAAAGUGGACGAGGUCGCAAGCCAUAAGAAGACCGAGACGGAGAAGAUGGCACAUCAGUAGAUGCAUCCACAACACAUGAACGACGUGUAUAAAAGUGAGGCAAAUGUGGAAGAAUACGAGCAAUAAUCCCCGAGAUAAGCUCAGGUUAGCGAGACAAGGAAGUCACCGAUGAUGAAGGUUUAGAAUCCCGUGAUAAGCGAAGUGAGGAAAUCACAGGAGAUGAUGGUGCUGAAUCUGUAAUAAUUGGAGAAGCAGGAGCAGUACGAGGAAUGGAAUAGGGCUCAACUAUAGUGAUAAGAAUGUCGGGAAAAGUGAGGUAACACAUCCUCCACUAAAAAGGUCGGGGAUGAUGGUCAUACGUAGCAGGGACGAGACUCACUAAAAGUCAUACCGUGAGAAAUAGUCACCCGAUGACCAACCUGAUCCCAACAACAAUAUCUCUUAUGCUCAUUGUUGUAUCCUAGGAACACUCAACAUACUAAGUAGUAAGUUUGGUACAUUGACGAGAGGCAGUAAGGGCACAUCAAACACAACCAAACAAUUGAAGCGCUGAAUAAUCUGGAAACGAUCAAAUAGACUCGGAAGGAGAUGACCAUGGUGGAAGUGGAGACGCAUUCAACCCAAAAGUGUGGCGUAAGAGAGGCAGUGACCAUCCAAAAGUGUGGCGGAAGAGAGAGCAGUGACAUUGAACCUAUGAGCCGUCUCAAUAGUUGACGAUGCUUGCCCUCAGCUAUGCCAUUUCUGAGCAUGAGCACCAGGAUAAGAGAACUGAGCAAGAGCACCCUGCUCAACAAGGAUUGAGCGCAACAUCUUGGAGAUUUAUUCUCCACCGAGUCAUCACAGUAUACAAGAAUAGGCGUAGAGAGAUACUAUGUUGGCAAACGGAAGCCACAUCGAAAAGUGUGGCAAAAGUGGUCAGCUGGGCCAUACAGGAGCAAAUGUCUCAUCGUAGUCAUGACUAUAUGUUCUCACCACUAGAUGAGCUUUGUAAAGCUCUAGAGAAACAUCAUAGCCUCACCCUUUGAUGUCAUCACAUGCUGCCAUUAUGGAUGAGAAAACGUCAUGAUAAGAAGUCGUCUUGCGAAGAGCACCACAAUAACUAACCAUAGCAGUCAAAAGGCAGUAGCAGGCGAGCUCGAAAGCCAUAGUUAGGCUGAUCUGGAGCUAUGUGUUGCCAACAGAAGAAUACAUAGUAAUCGAGGGAGUUGACUCAUUAGAAGAAUCCACAACACGCGAACAGUGAGUGUAGUAAAGUCAAGGAAGACGAGCAAAAGAAGGAACAUGAAAAGAGAAACUGCCAAGAGUGCCUCGACUAUCGACAGGUAGGGAAGUUACCAGGAUAGGAGAACUGAGCAAGAGCACCGUGCUCAACAAGGAUUGAAUGCAACAUCUUGGAGAUUUAUUCUCCACCGGAGUCAUCACGGAAUACAAGAAUAGGCGUAGGGAACUUGGUGUGUGCCAUGGCAUCAAAACGCUUACACAUAUAAGACCUCACUACGAAAGGAAAUAAAGUAUAUCCAGGUGUGUUGAGAGAAGUCAUCUAUAAAUAUAGUACUAGCGAUAACCUCCUUUCGAGGCGAAAGGAGGUGGGUCCCAGACAUCAAAGUGAACAAAGGUUGAAAGGGUUGUUGAGACACUGUCUCGCUAUGAGCAUAAGGUAAGUAUAGCUGUUUAACAAGCCGACAACCCGGACAGUUUGGAGACAUCAUCGGAGACUGAUCCAAGAAGACCAUGUCAAACUAAGGAUGCGAGAUGAGAGCCACACAAGUGACCCCAGGCGACGAUGGCACUUCUAAGCAUAACUGCUAGACAAGGUAACAGAGGUGGAGAGACUAGCGGCUGUAGCAGCAGAGUCACUUGAUCCAGCAUCCUACGUGCCUGUGCGCUCUCCGUUACCCGCCGAUCCGGCUUGGUGUGCUUCUCCUGUUUGCGGGUUGUGUGCCACGCACUUGAUUAAGCACCCCACGUUCUCCUACAGUGCGCCCUUGACCCUGGCUUUAGGUAGCGCCGUGUCCUCGGCUUGCCGUGCAUAAUCCAGGUAUGCGCCAACUGUCCGAGCUCCUGCUCACCAUCGGUGUUGCUCGAGCGUGGGUUCUGGUGUCGCCCAUAAAGGGAACACGGGAUGUGGGAUUGAGACAGUUCACAUAGCAACCCACAGCAAGGCAAAGGAUGCCCAUCCAACUGGCAGGGAGCGGAGGUGGACCCAAAAAGGUGGAUGUUGACUCCAAGGAGUCUCAACAGUACGCUUGUCAGUAAGAGGAGCAAGAAGAUCCUGGAUAUACUUCUCUUAGCAAAUAAAGAAGCCAUCAAAGGUAGACUCAGGGAAGUAGCGAUGAGGACCAAGGUCAGACAUAAGAAACUCACUGUGACGAGCAUUCACAAAGGCAAUGUACUUAAGAGUCGUGCAGGAUCAUGAGCACGCGUUGAAAAACGAGCCUUAUUAACCACAGAGACAACGCUCAAACCAGUCAUGAGGGGUUUGCUAAAGAGCAUAUAGAGAACGCCAAAGGCGACAAACCAUGCCGGCUGGAAAAGAAUACCCAAGUGGUGGCUACAUGUAGGAUUGUUGACAUCAAGCUGAGAGAGAGAGAGAGAGAUAGAUAGAUAGAGAGAGAGAGAGCCUAUGUUGGCAAACAGAAGCACAUCGAAAAGUGUUCCAAAAGUGGUCAUCUGGGCCAUACAGGAGCAAAUGUCUCAUCGUAGUCAUGACUAUGUUCUCACCACUAGACGUGGUUUGUAGAGCUCUAGAGUAACAUCAUAGUCUCACCCUUGUGGGCCUAGUUACAAGUAAUGAGACGAGCAAGAGGAGGAAGGGAAAUGAGAUUCCACCAGCCGGCGAGGUGAAGAGCAUUUGAUGCCAUCACAUGCUGCCAUUGUGGAUGAAAAAAAUGUCAUGAUAAGAAGUCUUCUUGUGAAGAGCACCGCAAUAACUAACCAUAGCAGUCAAUAGGCAGAAGCCGGCGAGCUCGAAAGCCAUAAGUAGGCUGAUCUGGAGCUAUGUGUUGCCAACAGAAGAAGACAUAGUAGUUGAGGGAGAUGACUCAUUAUAAGAAUCCACAACACGCGAACAAUGAGUGUAGUAAAGUCAAGGAAGAUGAGCCUAAGAAGGAACAUGCAAGACAAACUGCCAAGAGUACCUCGACUAUCGACUGGCAGGGAAGUUACAUUGACAGUAAAAACAUGAACAUGAGAAUCUAGAUGUGGAAUACGCAAGUGGUGGCUGCACGUAAAACCCCUGACAAAAUUCACCAUUAAAAAAGUCUUUGUUAACAUCAAGCCGAGACGGAGUGACGAAUAAAGGCCGCAACAAGAUGUGUGUGAACAAUUGUCGUAUGGCCCGCAUGAGCUGAAACUCUCAUCGUAAUUAGGACCAUGAUUCUACUAAAAGCCACGAGCCACAAGACGAGCUUUGUAAUGUUCAAGAGAACCAUCAGAGCGAGUCUUAACCUUGUUGACGCACCAAGUAAUGGGACGAACACGAGGAGGAAGGGACACAAUAUCCGAUGUGCUGAUGUGCUCAACAGUAGCAAUAUCCUCUACCAUGGCAAGGCGCCAUUUGGUAUGAAUAACAUCAAGAUAAGAAGUCUGCUCAAGAAAGUGGCGCCAACGUUUCAUAGCCUAAGGCGGUCCACAGGCAAAAGUGGACGAGGUCGCAAGCAAUAAGAAGGCCGAGACGGAGAAGAUGGCACAUCAGUAGAUGCAUCCACAACACAUGAACGACGUGUUUAAAAGUGAGGCAAAUGUGGAAGAAUACGAGCAAUAAUCCCCGAGAUAAGCUCAGGUUAUGGAGACAAGGAAGUCACCGGUGAUGAAGGUUUAGAAUCCCGUGAUAAGCGAAGUGAGGAAAUCAUAGGAGAUGAUGGUGCUGAAUCUGUAAUAAUUGGAGAAGCAGGAGCAGUACGAGGAAUGGAAUAGGGCUCAACGAUAGUGAUAAGAAUGUCGGGAAAAGUGAGGUAACACAUCCUCCACUAAAAAGGUCGGGGAUGAUGGUCACACGUAGCAGGGACGAGACUCACUAAAAGUCAUACCGUGAGAAAUAGUCACCCGAUGACCAACCUGAUCCCAACAACAAUAUCUCUUAUGCUCAUUGUUGUAUCCUAUGAACACUCAACAUACUAAGUAGUAAGUUUGGUACAUUGACGAGAGGCAGUAAGGGCACAUCAAACACAACCAAACAAUUGAAGCGCUGAAUAAUCUGGAAACGAUCAAAUAGACUCUUGAAAGGAGAUGACCAUGGUGGAAGUGGAGACGCAUUCAACCCAAAG
rnacentral:lncRNA from 1 species